CACUUCCAUCCCUCACACAGAUGGCUUAGAAGACCAAUUUAGCUUCACACUAGAGAACACUCAUCCUUUACCAAAGGGACAAAACCCCAAACACCUCUAUUCAAUGCCACAGCCACAAUUCACAAGGUUCCAGAAACCACCAAACUCCGCCCAAAACAAGAAACCACAAAAGGUUAUGUGAAGAAACCCUAACCCAGAAAGAGAUUGUUGCGUCUCGUAGAUUCAAUCGCUCAAUCGAAACAAAUUGGCCUAACCAACCCACAAGGAGAGAAAAACGACAAGCUUUGUGAAACGCGAUAGAAGGAAGAAACGAUGGAUUAUAAGAAGAAGGAAACUUGUAGAAGAAAUAAUUGGAAUCAGAUAGGAAGAUGAUGAAAUUAGGGUUUUUGCGAGUAGAGGCGAGAAAUUGUUUUUUGUUAAUUUGGUUUUCUCUCUUCUGUGUCAAUUUUUUGGGAACGAAACGUAUGAAGAAACAAUGAGCCUUUUUUUCCUCUCCUUAGAACAAUAAUCAAAAUUUUUAUUUAAUUUCUGAAUUUGUUUUUGAUUUGUUUAAUCUAAUUUGAAUAGUUAAAGUUUAGGUACAAUAUAGGCCCAACUAAUGAUCCUAGAUGGGCCCAUAAACUUUUUUCGGUAUUGUUUGUUCAUUCGAUGUGUUAGUUCUUACAUUGUAAAGAGGAUGAGUUUUGACCAUUUUAAUGUAAGUAACGAACCAUUUUAAUGUAAGUAACGAAUUUUAUACUUA